AGGAGCACGGGUACGACGUUGGCAACGUGAACCAUUCACGAGCACGGCGUUGCCCCCUUGUCCCCGGGAUCC
rnacentral:pre_miRNA from 1 species